AUCAUUGGGCUCGUAAUGCUCAAUGAAGGUAGAUGAAUAUUUAAGGUUUGAUAGUAUAUAGUAGAAGGCUACUAUAAUAUAAUAGGCACUAUAUACACUGUAUACCGUACAAGCAAUUGUUGUUGAGAAUAAAUUUCAUGUAGACCCUAUAGGCCUACAAGGUAAACGCAUGGACAUAAUACUUGUCUUUCUCCACCAAGAGUCAGUGAACUGAAUAAUUAGUAAAAGAUAUGUCAAAUUGUCAGUAAAGAAGGAACAUGUCAUCCAUUUUCUGCAUAACUUUAUCAAGAGGUUCGAACAAGUGAAUGGCACUAAAGCGUCCAUAUAGAAGAAAAAUUGUAUGAGAUCUGUCUGAUCUGAAAACCAGUGUGCAGGUGAUCUCAUAGCACUAAUCUCCUUGUACCCUACAACAUGAGAAUGAGAACGGAAAAGAAGUACAUCACAUUAGAGUUCUGUGCACAAUUAUAUUUUAAAAACAGUUGUGUUAAAUGUAUCUCAAGGCUUAAGUUAGAAGUAUUGAAACACAUUAACAAAGUAUUAGAUCUGUUCUAAAAAUAAAGCAUUAUGUUGGCUAAUGUAGUUUGUGUAACCUCCAGCUUCAGUAUAAUAUAAGUCAUCAAUCACAAA
rnacentral:sRNA from 1 species